CACUCGUGCUUUCCUAUUCGAAGGAAACAGAGGAUAUUUUCAUAAGGUUCCCCAAUCUUCAAAGUCUUGUAUUUGAUCUCAAGGAAUCAUGGGAUUACUCAAAAGAGCAACAUUGGUUCCCGAAAUUGGAUCACUUAACUGAACUAGAUUACCUUAGAGCAGAUUUUGAAAGUUCAAACACAAAUGAAGGUGGGCCCUCUUUAGCAAAAAAUUGGUCAUGGGAUUUUCAUUUUCCUUCCAAUUUGAAAAAAUUGUCAUUAUGGGACUUUCCUCUGACACCUGAUUCAUUAUCAAUAAUAGCGAGACUGGCCAACCUUGAAGAGUUGGUCCUCAGGAGAAUAAUCAUCCAGGAGGAAGAAUGGACCUUUGUGAAUCUCAAAUAUUUGAAUUUGGAAAGGAAUCCUUUCCCUUGCUUGAGAAAUUAGUACUGUUGAGAUGUCUAAUGCUUACAGAGAUUCCACCUAAUUUUGGGGAUAUUGGUUCAUUAAAAAUUAUCAAACUUGUAAAGAGCCCUCAACUUGAAGAUUCUGCUCUAGAGAUUAAACAAUAUGUUGAAGAUAUGAUGGGAGAAGACAAGCUUCAGAUCCUUGGACCGAAUAAUAUCCCAUUAUCUAAGACAGAUCCUGAGAACUUGAAAGGAUGGGAAGGAGAAGUUACUUUGGUAGAAUGAAGAAAAUGAAGGAGAAAUAAAGGAGGAGGAAACAAACAACUCAUAGAACCCCUUAGCAGCUGCCCCCAGCUCCUCUGCCAUGGUCAGUUCGCCUCCUAGUUGGAGUGCCGUUGCUAUGCCUCGAACUGCGAGUUUGCUGCCUCCAAAUGCCCAGAAAUUCAACUGUACUGAAGUCAUUGAGAAAUUCCAAUGCAACAAGAAGUGGGAUCUCUGCCUGCAAGAAGUUAUAAUUGUCAUACAGUCUGCUGGAAUCAACCAUCAAUAAGAAUUUGGUGUUGGGGGCUGCAGUAUUUAAUGAUCAAGAUGCUGCAACU